rnacentral:misc_RNA from 1 species
GGGAAGUAAAAGUCGUAAUAAGGUUUCCGUAGGUGAACCUGAGGAAGGAUCAUUAAAAAAUAUCACACGGUUGUUGUGUGAUUUAAUAAUCAUCCUACCCUUUGUGAAUUUGUUUGUAAAGUAAAAUUUAUGCUGUCUAUCCCUGAAUUGAAGAAGCUAGUUUAGUUUCUUUAAUCAGGGAGUAGGCUUUCAUAGACCUUUUUUUAAAUUAAACUUUUUGUAUUCAUUUGUCUAAAAUUUAUUUUUAGUAAUUUAAAAACAACUUUUGACAAUGGAUCUCUUGGUUCUCGCAACGAUGAAGAACGCAGCAAAAUGCGAUAAGUAAUGUGAAUUGCAGAAUACGUGAAUCAUCAAAUUUUCGAACGCAUAUUGCACUUUUUUAGUUUACUAAAAAAGUAUGUCUGUUUGAGUAUCAGUAAAAUAUUCUCAUAAAAACUAUUUGUUUUUAUGGUUAUGAGUGUUUUACAACGAUAGCAAGUUGUUUCACUUUAAAUUGAUUUUUUAAUAAGCCAAUUUGGUUUUAUUAUAAAAUUGGAUAAAAUUUUCCCGUAAAAAGGAAUAAACUUUUCAGUUUUAAAAUAAUUCAAUUGACUAUGUAAAAAGGAAAUUUAUAAUAAACUAACUUGAUCUCAAAUCAGAUAAGAGUACCCGCUGAACUUGAGCAUAUCAAUAAGCGGAGGAAAAGAAACUAACAAGGAUUCCCUUAGUAACGGCGAGUGAAGCGGGAAGAGCUCAAAUUUGAAAUCUUCAAGGUUCUACCUUGACGAAUUGUAGUCUAAAGAAGUGUUUUCUGUUAGUGGAGUGGCAAAAGUUCUUUGGAAUAGGACAUCAUAGAGGGUGAGAAUCCCGUAUUUGGUCAUUCCUUCUAGCUUUGUGAUACACUUUCAAAGAGUCGGAUUGUUUGGGAAUGCAGUCCAAAAUGGGUGGUAAAUUUCAUCUAAAGCUAAAUAUUGGCGAGAGACCGAUAGCGAACAAGUACCGUGAGGGAAAGAUGAAAAGAACUUUGAAAAGAGAGUUAAACAGUACGUGAAAUUGUCAAAAGGGAAGCGUUUGACACCAGUGUUGUUUUUCCGAAAAUCAAUUAAGAAUGUUUUAUUUUUGAGGAGUUAUGACUUCAUCGGCUUGCUCCUUUCUUUAUGAACUUUCUUAAUGCACUUUUCGGUUAACAAGUCAACAUCAAUUUCUUUUGUUGUAAAAGAGUAUGAGGAAGGUGGCUUUCUUUUCGGAGAAAGUGUUUAUAGCCUGUACUUCUGCAAUCGGAGAGAUUGAGGUCUGCAGCGUAGAUCCUUCGGGGUUAGAUACAUUUGUGCUAAGUUAUAGCUUUCCAUAGACAACUUGUUGAUUAUGAUUAGUCUUGUAGCUUACUCGCUUAUGCUAUUUUACCUACGCUUAGGAUGUUGAG